UAUCAACGCAGUGUACAUGCGCUUUCUUCCUUAUCAUAUAUCCAUUCUACACCGCUUCCUUUAGUAGUAAUUUAACACCUUUUUGUAAAUAUAA